AUACGGAGGAUGCGAGCGUUAUCCGGACUUAUUGGGUUUAAAGGGUGCGCAGGCGGCCAUUUAAGUCAGCGGUUAAAUCGUGGGGCUCAACCCCAUUCUGCCGUUGAUACUGGGUGGCUUGAUUGCGGUCGAGGUUGGCGGAAUUCGUUGUGUAGCGGUGAAAUGCAUAGAUAUGACGAAGAACACCGAUUGCGUAGGCAGCUGACCAGACCGCAAAUGACGCUCAUGCACGAAAGUGCGGGGAUCGAACAGGAUUAGAUACCCUGGUAGUCCGCACAGUAAACGAUGAAUACUUGUUUUCGGCGAUAUAAUGUCGGAGGCAAAGCGAAAGCGAUAAGUAUUCCACCUGGGGAGUACGCCGGCAACGGUGAAACUCAAAUGAAUUGACGGG
rnacentral:rRNA from 1 species